UACGUAGGGACCGAGCGUUGUCCGGAAUCAUUGGGCGUAAAGAGCGUGUAGGCGGCCACUUAAGUCCUGCGUGAAAUCUUGCGGCUCAACCGCAAGCGGUCGUGGGAAACUGGGUGGCUAGAGUGCGGGAGAGGAGAGUGGAAUUCCUGGUGUAGCGGUGGAAUGCGCAGAUAUCAGGAAGAACACCCGUGGCGAAAGCGGCUCACUGGACCAUAACUGACGCUGAUGCACGAAAGCUGGGGGAGCAAACAGG
rnacentral:rRNA from 1 species